CAGUGGAUUGGCCUAUCUCCCGUGACACCCGCUUCCCCCUCCCUCCUACGAAAUGAUCAUAAGACACCUGGCGAACACUUUAUUUGACGACAAAAACUGGUUCCAACAACAAUACUGCAACAUUACGAGAGCAGCACCAACAUUUGAUUCGUUGAUGUGCAGUUUGGAGAAUAAAUAACUUGCUUGGAAGCAAGCGAAAACGGCAAAUAUAAAUACGUGGCUGUGCUUUGACCUUUGGACUGUUACCUGGUGGUGUUCAGGCGGUAGCGACUUUAGGGCGACCGUGAAGUCGUGACUGAUCUUCCCCGCGCUGCAGAUCCCCCACCUGGUUGCCAUGUUGGAGGACAAGCUGGAGUGCAUCCGGUUGCAGUUGCAGCAUGACGCCGAGAGAUGGAGACACAACUGACUUAUUGCAGGAGAGUACAGGCGGGGUCAAGUCAAGUGAAGAAGACCGGGCCUCCGAGCGCCUUUGUCAGCUGUCCUAGCUGGAGAUGACACCCACCUGCUUCCCGAUUUUGUUCAUGAUCUCUGUAAGUAAGAUGGAGUCGGCCGGAGGCAUCCGUGGGCUCUCCAUUAAGACCUGAUGAAGAGAAGGUGUAAUAUCCUGGAUGACUGAAGGGCAUGUGUGUUUUUAAACAAAACUCUGCUCAAUUUAAAUCCAUCACAAUUUAUUAAAAAAAAAAAAUACUUUUAAGCAGACACUGUCAUACUGCCUCUACUUUCCUCUACAUCUUUGCAGCAUGUCAACCAUGUUUUUUUUAAGUUAUCGACAAAAUCAACAGUGAAAUUUGAUCAAUUUGUGUUAAAACGUCUUAGCUUUUUACUUUGAACAACUAAGAAAUGAAUGGUGCACUUUAAUUUAGUUACUGUCGUGCUCACCAACAUGCGCACCCAUGAAGCUUAAGUACUAAAUGUGUAAUACAGUAUCUCCUGAAGUAAACGAAUCAAGUGAAAAAACCUUUUCAGACAUAAAUCCAUGGCUUUU